GCGCUCGCCCAAAGCCCCGCUUGCGGCGGUGGCGUUCUCGAUCCCCUACGCGCGAACGUUGCCGAGGUACGGACGGCGCUGCCUGCCGGGGAGAACUCGUCGGCAAAGCCGCAAAAGGCGAUAAACACGCUCACGCGUUCUGCCUCCGGGGAGCUUGACCAGCGUAGCGUAAGCGGGCCCCGUGGUCGCGCACAGAAACGCUCCCUGAAAGCGAGUGCGCGUUGACGGACUCACUGCGAAGCUGCGGGAGUGGCUGUUCGCGCCGGCCGGGCCGUUUAUCAGCCAGAGCUUGGUACUUGCCUAUCUGAUGACCGCGUCGGGCCUUGAGUGAAAAGGGAAUCCUGGGAAGACCAGGGCAUAAGACGCGAGCGCCAUGACGCUCCCGACAAGCUCCCUGAAGCUCCCAUCAAGCUUCCAUGGAGAGCUUCUAUGACGCUUCCAUCAAUCACGUAAUCACGCUAUAUUAAAAAUGUAAAUUCUGUAAAUAAAUGUUCUUGUUAACA